UAAUUUAAAAUUUUGGUUCAAAAAGUUAAAAAGUGUGUUUUUUGCGUUUAGUGUUUGUGUUUUUUAACUUGUUUUGAUUUGUUAGGUUAAGUUGUUUGUGUCAAAAAACGUUUCAUAUGGACCCCAUGGAAGACGUUAGGAAUAAAAUUCAUAAUUACGCAAGACCCUCUUCAACCCGGCGCAGUAUGACUGUUGUUGACAACAUCGUGGCACAGAAAAUGAUUGCCAAUGCGUAUUCAUUUUUCAAGAAGGAA